rnacentral:rRNA from 1 species
GAGGAGCUUGCUCUUCAAAUCGAGUGGCGAACGGGUGAGUAACGCGUGAGGAACCUGCCUCAAAGAGGGGGACAACAGUUGGAAACGACUGCUAAUACCGCAUAAGCCCACGGCUCGGCAUCGAGCAGAGGGAAAAGGAGCAAUCCGCUUUGAGAUGGCCUCGCGUCCGAUUAGCUAGUUGGUGAGGUAAUGGCCCACCAAGGCGACGAUCGGUAGCCGGACUGAGAGGUUGAACGGCCACAUUGGGACUGAGACACGGCCCAGACUCCUACGGGAGGCAGCAGUGGGGAAUAUUGCACAAUGGGGGAAACCCUGAUGCAGCGACGCCGCGUGGAGGAAGAAGGUCUUCGGAUUGUAAACUCCUGUUGUUGAGGAAGAUAAUGACGGCACUCAACAAGGAAGUGACGGCUAACUACGUGCCAGCAGCCGCGGUAAAACGUAGGUCACAAGCGUUGUCCGGAAUUACUGGGUGUAAAGGGAGCGCAGGCGGGAGAACAAGUUGGAAGUGAAAUCCAUGGGCUCAACCCAUGAACUGCUUUCAAAACUGUUUUUCUUGAGUAGUGCAGAGGUAGGCGGAAUUCCCGGUGUAGCGGUGGAAUGCGUAGAUAUCGGGAGGAACACCAGUGGCGAAGGCGGCCUACUGGGCACCAACUGACGCUGAGGCUCGAAAGUGUGGGUAGCAAACAGGAUUAGAUACCC